AUGGAGGCAUCCUUGGAAAGUCUGUCACAGCUGUCUAGCAGUGACCUGCUGGGUGAUGAACAGGAACCUCCACUCUCGUCCAUCCAUAAUGAUGACAAGCAUUCCAGAGAGAAGGCCCGGGGCGGCGGAGACGAUCUGGAGUUGAAGAGAGAGCAAGGCGACAGUGAGAGCACGCCAGGUCAGCAAUACCUCGGUCCCACCACGACCUCCACUUCCCUUCCCUGAGUCCCAGAGGGGCUGAAUGAGGCUGAGAAGAGUGAUGGGAAUUGUUCCCAUGACAUUUAUAAUAGUUAAAAAAAAAACCAAAAAAAAAAAAAAACAGAGACAGCCUAACUGUGCAAUAGGGGGUGUGAUAGAAAAUAAAUCAUAGGAGUUCCCGUCGUGGCGCAGUGGUUAACGAAUCCGACUAGGAACCAUGAGGUUGCGGGUUCGGUCCCUGCCCUUGCUCCGUGGGUUAAGGAUCCAGCGUUGCCGUGAGCUGUGGUGUAGGUUGCAGACGCGGCUUGGAUCCCGCGUUGCUAUGGCUCUGGCAUAGGACGGUGGCUACAGCUCCGAUUCGACCCCUAGCCUGGGAACCUCCAUAUGCCGCUGGAGCGGCCCAAGAAAUGGCAAAAAGACCAAAAAAAUUAAAAAUUAAAAAAUAUAAAUAAAUAAAUCAUAAAUGUAAGUACCUGUUCACAACAAUAUAGCUUCUAGAAAGUAAUAUAGAGUGUCUUUAUGACCUUGGGGUAGAAGAAAGAUUUUUAAGCAAAACAUAACAAGUGCUAGUCACAGAAAAAGACGGAUAAAUGUGUCUAUAGGACCAUUAAGGAAUCGGGUUAUGAAAAGGUACCACGAGCAGAAUGAAAUGUCAAACCACAGUGAAAAUGCUUGCAUUGCAUAUAAGCAGCAAAAAGCUCAAAGCCAAAAUACAAAAGAACUAAAAAAAAAAAAAAAACUCUUAAAAAGCAGCAAGGAAAAGACAGGCAAUGCAGUAGAAAAGUGACCAAGAGACUUGAAGGGGCAAUUCACAAAAGAAGACGCAGAAAGGUCAUGUCCUAACAUAAAAGUUGCUCAAUUGUAUUUGUUGUCAGGAAAGUCCAAGUUAAAACCUCGGUGAGGAGUUCGCUUGUUGCACAACAGGUUAAGGAUCCGGUUACUCCAGCGGCUUGGGUCAAGGGUUCGAUCCCCGGCCCGGGAACUUCCACAUGCCACAGAUGUCGCAAAAACAAAAGCAAAAAAUCUUAUAAUGAGAUACCAAAUAUCUAAAAGUAAGAAUGCCAAUAUUAAGUGUUUGUUCUGACCUGAGCUGAUCCUGGAACUGUCAUACACUGCUGGCAGUGCAUCUUGUUAUUCCCACUUUGGAACACUCUUAGACAUUUUUAACUGAUGUUGAAAAUUUGCAUUCCCUAUGACCUGGCAAUCACACCCUCGGGUAUAUGGGCAACGGAAAUGUGGCCAGUGGGCAUAGGCGGUAUGAACAAGAAUGUUCAUAGUGACAUACCUUAUAAAAGCCCCAAACUGGAGUUCCCAUUGUGGCUCAGCAGUAACAAACGCAACUAGUAUCCAUGAGGAUGCGAGUUCCAUCCCUGGCCUCGAUCAGUGGAUUAAGGAUCCUGCGUUGCCGUGAGCUGUGGUGUAGGUUGCAGACAUGGCUUGGAUCCUGAGUUGCUGUGGCUGUGGUGUAGGCCAGCAGCUAUAGCUCAGAUAACAACCCCUAGCCUAGGAACCUCCUUAUGCUGUGGGUACAGCCCUAAAAAGACAACAAAAAAACAAACAAACAAACAAAAAAAACCCAAACUGGAUACAACCCACACGUCCAUCAAGAAAAAAUGACAGGUGGUAUAUUCACACAGUGACAUAUUACACUGUAGUAAUGGAUGAACAACAGCCUGACAGAGUAUUUUGGAUGGCUCUCUCAGAUAAAAGAGACCGGAAAAAAGUCAGACACGAAAAAAUACACACUGUAUGAGUUUGUGAAAAGCUCAAAAAUGGACAAAAUAAAAUAAUAAUCUUUAGAUGGUAAAAGAAACAAGUGAUUACCAUGAAAGCCAGGAGAGAGGUUACCUUAGAGAGGAAGGAAGGGAUUGUGACCACAGAGGGUCCUGCAGAGUCUCUGGGAUGCUGGAAAUAUUCUAUUUUUGACCUUGGGUGGCGGGUACCCAGAUGUGGUUUUAUGCUAAUUCUUUUUGUUGUUAUUGCUUUUUUUUUAGGGCCAAACCUGCAGCAUAUUGAAGUUCCCAGGCUAUGGGCUGAACUGGAACUGUAGCUGCCAGCCACAGUCACAGCCACAGCAGCAUGGAAUCUGAUCUGCAUCUUCCACCUAUACCACAGCUCAUGACCAGAUCUUUAACCCACUGAGUGAGGCCAGGGAUGGAACUCUCAUCCUCUUGGAUACUAUUUGGGUUCGUUACUGCUAAGCCACAACAGGAACUUCCUAGGCUAAUUCUUUAAGUGGUAUAUUUAUGUAAUGCGACUUUCCGAGUAUGUAUUUUAUUCCACUGAACUAUGUGAAAUUGGCAAUAUUCAACCAUUUUAACCUAAUAAUUAAACCUAAUGGUGAUUUCAUAUGGUUCGACCUGAAACAAUAAAAAAUAACUUAGGAGUUCCCAUAGUGGCUGAGCAGUAACGAAUCCAACUAUGUCCAUGAGGACUCGGGUUCGAUCCCUGGCCUCGCUCAGUGGAUUAAGGAUCCAGCAUUGCUGUGAGCUGUGGUGUAGGUCGCAGAUUCCAUGCUGCUAUGGCUGUGGUGUAGGCCGGCAGCUGCAGCUCUGAUUUGACCCUUAGCCUGGGAACAUCCAUAGGCCACAGGUGCAGCCUUUAAAACCAACCAACCAAACAAAACGAUGGUCCUGAAGGCUUUUGAUAACUUCAUUCACUCAUUAUCCAUCAAACAAAUGUCUGCUGGGGGCUUGUAGUGAACCAGGUAUAUUUCUAGGCACUGGGCUACAGAAUAAAAUUCUGUCCUGGGGCCCACCUUCUAAUGGGAAGCUAAUGUAAAUCAGACAUUGACCCAUGUAGAAUGGCAUAUUGUGGUAAGUGCUAUGAAGAAAAACUAAGGCUAUAGAAGGUGACGAAAAGAGACUUAGGUGGCACAGUCAAAAAGGCCUGUCUGAGGAGAUGACAUUUGGAAAUGCAUCUGAAUGGAGUGAGAGAGAGAAACCAUGUGCAGCCAUGGGAGAAAAAGCCUGCAGCCGAGGCAAGAGCAAGGGCACAGGCCCUCCGGCUGGAAUGUGCCCCGCAGGACUGAAGAACAAGGAGGCCAGUGUUACGGGGUCAGAGCGAGGGGAGGGGAGAGGAUGAAGACAUGAAGCGGCAGAAGGAACCAGGGACCCAUCGCAGAAGGCCUGUGUGGCUUGGCAAGGGACCUCAGCCUUUAUUCCAAGAGUGAUGGGGGGGCCAUUGGAAGGUUGAGAGCCGGAGGUGGUAUGAUUUGAUUUUUAGUUUGGAAGGAAGACUGGCUGUUCUGUGGAGGAGGGUGUGAAAGGGGGCGUGGGGGGCAUGUGGAAGCAGAGAUUCCUGUUAAAAUGCUACCGUAGUGUCUGGGCAAGAGAUGAAGGUGGCAUGGACUAGGGUGGCUGUGGUGGUGACACAGUAUUUUGGAGUCAGGACAGUAGAUUUUAUAGGUAGAGUCUAGGUAGAAUUUUUUUUAAGUCUUAUUCG
rnacentral:lncRNA from 1 species